rnacentral:rRNA from 1 species
AACCUGGUUGAUCCUGCCAGUAGUCAUAAGCACAAGUCAACAUCUUGUGUUGAUUACGUCCCUGCUCUUUGUACACACCGCCCGUCGCUCCUACCGAUCGAGUGUUUAGAUGAAUUUGAUGGACGUGAGGAAGUCAAAUAAAUCUGAGCACUUAGAGGAAGGAGAAGUCGUAACAAGGUUUCCGUAGGUGAACCUGCAGAAGGAUC